rnacentral:rRNA from 1 species
CAGUCGCCGCGGGAAUACGAAGGGUGCAAGCGUUAAUCGGAAUUACUGGGCGUAAAGCGUGCGUAGGCGGUGAGUUAAGUCUGCUGUGAAAUCCCCGGGCUCAACCUGGGAAUGGCAGUGGAUACUGGCUCGCUAGAGUGUGUCAGAGGAUGGUGGAAUUCCCGGUGUAGCGGUGAAAUGCGUAGAGAUCGGGAGGAACAUCAGUGGCGAAGGCGGCCAUCUGGGACAACACUGACGCUGAGGCACGAAAGCGUGGGGAGCUAACAGGAUUAGAUACCCGUGUAGUCCCUGUCUCUUAUAC